UACGUAGGGGGCAAGCGUUGUCCGGAAUCAUUGGGCGUAAAGCGCGUGUAGGUGGCCCGAUAAGUCCGCUGUGAAAGUCCAGGGCUCAACCCUGGAAUGCCGGUGGAUACUGUCGGGCUAGAGUCCGGAAGAGGCGAGUGGAAUUCCUGGUGUAGCGGUGAAAUGCGCAGAUAUCAGGAGGAACACCAAUGGCGAAGGCAGCUCGCUGGGACGUGACUGACGCUGAGACGCGAAAGCGUAGGGAGCAAACAGG
rnacentral:rRNA from 1 species